GACGAACGCUGGCGGCGUGCUUAACACAUGCAAGUCGAGCGAGAAAAGUUCUUCGGAGCUUUUCUAGCGGCGGACGGGUGAGUAACACGUGGGCAAUCUGCCUCAUAGAGGGGAAUAGCCUUCCGAAAGGAAGAUUAAUACCGCAUAAUAUUGUUGAAAGGCAUCUUUUAACAAUCAAAGGAGCAAUCCGCUAUGAGAUGGGCCCGCGGCGCAUUAGCUAGUUGGUGAGGUAACGGCUCACCAAGGCGACGAUGCGUAGCCGACCUGAGAGGGUGAUCGGCCACAUUGGAACUGAGACACGGUCCAGACUCCUACGGGAGGCAGCAGUGGGGAAUAUUGCACAAUGGGGGAAACCCUGAUGCAGCAACGCCGCGUGAGUGAUGAAGGUCUUCGGAUUGUAAAGCUCUGUCUUUAGGGACGAUAAUGACGGUACCUAAGGAGGAAGCCACGGCUAACUACGUGCCAGCCGCCGCGGUAACAC
rnacentral:rRNA from 1 species